UACGAAGGGGACUAGCGUUGUUCGGAAUUACUGGGCGUAAAGGGCUCGUAGGCGGCCAACUAAGUCGGAUGUGAAAUCCCCAAGCUUAACUUGGGAACUGCAUCCGAUACUGGAUGGCUUGAAUCCGGGAGAGGGAUGCAGAAUUCCAGGUGUAGCGGUGAAAUGCGUAGAUAUCUGGAGGAAUACCGGUGGCGAAGGCGGCAUCCUGGACCGGCAUUGACGCUGAGGAGCGAAAGCUAGGGGAGCAAACGGG
rnacentral:rRNA from 1 species